rnacentral:hammerhead_ribozyme from 1 species
AUCCAGUUGACGAGUGCCAAAUAGGAUGAAACGCGCGUGCUGGAU